CCUGUCCUCUGUGUGGGGUGGAGUCCGGGGACCUGGACUGAGAAGAAGCCAGGAUUCUGGCUACGGCAAUAGGGUGACAGAGGGUACCCUCCCUGCCUGGUCUGGACCUUGCCUGACCUGCGGACCUCGAAGCACGGAGGGUGGGAUAAUCGUCAAGACUCCAAGGGCAAGCAGCCGAACCCACCGAAAUCAGCUUACGUGAAAAGAGGUUCCUUGGAAGGAGAGCUGGUUGGUUACAUGGCAUGUGCUGGAGCCCCCAGUCCCAGGGGUCUGGGAAGAGCAGAACGUACGUGCUGGAAGAGGUUUUCUAGAGCUCCUCAUUGGCAAAGGAGAAGGCUGAGGCUAUUUCAGCCCUCGUGGUCUGUUGCCUCGCAGCUGGCAGAACGGGAGCUGGGGUGCGGCUCCUUCCUCUGGAUGGGGCCUCAGGCGAACAUUGCCCUGAAUUCAGCCAAGCUGGAGGACAGAAGCAGAGUGAGGACGCGCUACAGAGAAAACAACCUCAACGCUACUCGCCUUACACGACCAGCUCAGGCAGAAGCCCGGGAGCCACAGCAGAGAGCAGGGCAAGGGCAGGAGAGCCGGAUGGUCCAGGAGCAGCACCCACUCCACGCCUGUUUCCACUGCUGCCGCUCACGGGGAGCAGUGGCCCUUCUCCACGUCCUUGUGCCACGCGACGGAUGGUCUUAGGACGCACUCGCGAGGCGCUAGUCUGUCGGAAAGCUGGAAUAGUGCCCAUUUCCACAGCUUAAACUUUGAGGGUCCAACUUAACAAAAGGAGUCCAGCCUCCCCAAAGGAAAAUGGGGGUUUCAGAGUUUAUUUCUUGUUUUCGGCCCAAACAGCAGAUGACAGGUGCACAGGCUGUUUUCCUGAGUUUCACGUUUUAAGUGAAUAAAUCAGGUUCUUUAAUGAUCACACGGCAUAAGUUACUGAUACAGACAAUAUUCUGACAUUCUUCUCAAGGUCCUGGGAGACAACGGGACUAAAGGUGCGAUGUAACACAUGAGAGAGCUCUGGGCUCCUCACUUGUCCCCUGAGCCAAGACGCCGCUGCCCUGGCCGUGGGCUCCACGGCCGCCCUCGCCCCAGCUGUGGAAGACGCGACGGCGUUUCUGCCAUGGAAAAGCCGGCGGCGCGGGGCGCCCGGCGGGAGAGUGUGCCGCGAGGCAGCUGCCCUGUGGCGCGGGGAAGACCACGUCCUCCUGUAACGCAUCCAGGAAAAGAUAAUUGCAUUCCGUGGAGAGAAAACACACGAGGAUAGGGGUCAUUUAUUUAAAAAAUUCCUAGUUUUGUAACAUCAGGAACCGAGGGGGCGUCUGUUAAACCGUAUUACCAUCCACCGGCACGGUUUUGCAUCCCUUCCAUUGCAUAAGAACUGAAGAAUGCUUUUUACCGUGUCAACACUGUUUAAAUAAUGACAUAUUACCUUCAACUCCCCACCUGAGCUUCGAGUUCUCUUUUGAUCAACAUUCAUUUGUCAGUCAUUUCUACAUGCAACUUCCCCUAAAAUACACAGCGGAUUCUGAAAUAGCUGCACGGCCCUGGCGCGGCUGUCAGUAACGG